rnacentral:misc_RNA from 1 species
AUGUGAAAUAUCGGCCCAAGGGCCGAUGUGAAAUAUUGAACGGCGAGCCGUUCAAUGUGAAAUAUUCGGCUACCGCCGAAUGUGAGAGUUACU